rfam:Ictidomys tridecemlineatus contig066511, whole genome shotgun sequence.
UGGGGUAUAGCUCAGUUGGUAGAGUGCUUGCCUUGCGCGCACAAGGCCCGGGGUUCAAUCCCCAGCACCACAG